UACGAAGGGGGCUAGCGUUGCUCGGAAUUACUGGGCGUAAAGGGCGCGUAGGCGGCGCUGUUAGUCAGGCGUGAAAUUCCUGGGCUCAACCUGGGGACUGCGCUUGAUCCGGCAGUGCUUGAGGAUGGAAGAGGCUCGCGGAAUUCCCGGUGUAGAGGUGAAAUUCGUAGAUAUUGGGAAGAACACCGGUGGCGAAGGCGGCGAGCUGGUCCAUUACUGACGCUGAGGCGCGAAAGCUAGGGGAGCAAACGGG
rnacentral:rRNA from 1 species